GGGGUUGUAGCUCAGUGGUAAAGUGCUUGCCUCACAUGUAUGAGGCACUGGGUUUGAUCCUCAGCACCACA
rnacentral:tRNA from 1 species